rnacentral:rRNA from 1 species
GCCAGACUCCUACGGGAGGCAGCAGUGGGGAAUAUUGCACAAUGGGGGAAACCCUGAUGCAGCGACGCCGCGUGAGUGAAGAAGUAAUUCGUUAUGUAAAGCUCUAUCAGCAGGGAAGAAAAUGACGGUACCUGAGUAAGAAGCCCCGGCUAACUACGUGCCAGCAGCCGCGGUAAUACGUAGGGGGCAAGCGUUAUCCGGAAUUACUGGGUGUAAAGGGAGCGCAGGCGGUACGGCAAGUCUGAUGUGAAAGCCCGGGGCUCAACCCCGGUACUGCAUUGGAAACUGUCGGACUAGAGUGUCGGAGGGGUAAGUGGAAUUCCUAGUGUAGCGGUGAAAUGCGUAGAUAUUAGGAGGAACACCAGUGGCGAAGGCGGCUUACUGGACGAUUACUGACGCUGAGGCUCGAAAGCGUGGGGAGCAAACAGGAUUAGAUACCCGGGUA